AUUGAACGCUGGCGGCAUGCUUUACACAUGCAAGUCAACGGUAACAGGGUGCUUGCACCGCUGACGAGUGGCGAACGGGUGAGUAAUGCGUCGGAACGUGCCGAGUAGUGGGGGAUAACGCAGCGAAAGUUGUGCUAAAACCGCAUACGUACUGAGGUAGAAAGUGGGGACCUUCGGGCCUCACGCUAUUCGAGCGGCCGACGUCUGAUUAGCUAGUAGGUGAGGUAAAGGCUCACCUAGGCGACGAUCAGUAGCCGGUCUGAGAGGAUGAUCCGCCACACUGGGACUGAGACACGGCCCAGACUCCUACGGGAGGCAGCAGUGGGGAAUUUUGGACAAUGGGCGAAAGCCUGAUCCAGCCAUGCCGCGUGUCUGAAGAAGGCCUUCGGGUUGUAAAGGACUUUUGUCGGGGAGGAAAUCCCCAGCGUUAAUACCGCUGGGGGAUGACAGUACCUGGAGAAUAAGCACCGGCUAACUACGUGCCAGCAGCCGCAGUAAGAC
rnacentral:rRNA from 1 species